rnacentral:misc_RNA from 1 species
GAUGAAGAACGUAGCGAAAUGCGAUAAGUAAUGUGAAUUGCAGAAUUCAGUGAAUCAUCGAAUCUUUGAACGCACCUUGCACCCUUUGGCAUUCCGAAGGGUAUGCUCGUUUGAGUGUCAUUGUACUCUCACACUCCCAAUUGCUUUGGAUUGGGAGCGGUGGACUUGUGUGUUGCUGCUUGACUGAGGCUCACCUGAAAUAUGUUAGUGCACCUCUUGAUUGGACAUAGUACGGCGUGAUAAGUGUCUUCGCCGGCUCCUCGCAAAGAGGGUGGCCGAUCGGGAGCUCUGUUGCUUCAAACUGUCUUCGGACAAUCUUCUGGCGACUUGACCUCAAAUCGAGUAGGACUACCCGCUGAACUUAAGCAUAUCAAUAAGCGGAGGA